UUUCAUGAAAAUCUUGUCAUACCCUGAAUUUUCUCUGAUACCACGUCGGCUGAAAUCUUUCAUCAAUUUGAGAUAUUUGGUGAAGAAUAUAAACAUCCCAGAGUAGUUUCUAUAUUUGUGUAUGAAGAAGAUGAACAUCUGGAAGAGUUGCCAAAGCUGUGAAUGAAUGUAAACAUAUAUUAGUACCGAUUUCAGCUAAAAAAAAAUCAUCUAGAUGCUAUGCACGAACAACUAAUAAGCUGCACAACACCUGUAAGUUGUUGAUAAAUAAUAAAGUGGGCCUUGUCAAUUUAAUGAAGAACUGGACUCAUAAGCUUGGGCUACAGCCCAGAUGCUGCCUCCAUUUACUGUAUUAGAGACAGAUAUCUCAUUUGGCGACAUAUAUGGCUCCACUUUACACUUAUUCAUAAU
rnacentral:lncRNA from 1 species